AGCGAACGUUAGCGGCGGGCCUAACACAUGCAAGUCGAACGGGCUGUAGCAAUACAGUCAGUGGCGCACGGGUGCGUAACGCGUAGAUAACCUACCUUCCUGUGGGGGAUAACUAGGGGAAACUCUAGCUAAUACCGCAUAAGACCACGGAGCCUGCGGGCUCUGAGGGAAAAGGCGGCCGCUGAAUAUGCUGUCGCAGGGAGAUGGGUCUGCGUCCCAUCAGCUAGUUGGCGAGGUAAUGGCUCACCAAGGCAAAGACGGGUAGCCGGUCUGAGAGGAUGAUCGGCCACACUGGCACUGGAACACGGGCCAGACUCCUACGGGAGGAAGCAGUGGGGAAUAUUGGGCAAUGGGCGCAAGCCUGACCCAGCCACGCCGCGUGAGUGAUGAAGGCCUUCGGGUUGUAAAGCUCUGUGGGGAGGGACGAAACAGUUGCUGGCUAAUAUCCAGCGACCUUGACGGUACCUCCUUAGCAAGCACCGGCUAACUCCGUGCGAGCAGCCGCCGCAGUAA
rnacentral:rRNA from 1 species